rnacentral:rRNA from 1 species
AGAGUUUGAUCAUGGCUCAGGAUGAACGCUGGCGGCGUGCCUAACACAUGCAAGUCGAACGGACGAAAAGGGGCUUGCUCCUUUUUGUUAGUGGCGGACGGGUGAGUAACGCGUGGGUGACCUGCCGUAUACAGGGGGAUAACAGUUAGAAAUGACUGCUAAUACCGCAUAAGCGCACAGUAUCGCAUGAUACAGUGUGAAAAGCCGAGACGGUAUACGAUGGACCCGCGUCUGAUUAGCUGGUUGGCGGGGUAACGGCCCACCAAGGCGACGAUCAGUAGCCGGCCUGAGAGGGUGGACGGCCACAUUGGGACUGAGACACGGCCCAAACUCCUACGGGAGGCAGCAGUGGGGGAUAUUGCACAAUGGGGGGAACCCUGAUGCAGCGACGCCGCGUGAGUGAAGAAGUAUUUCGGUAUGUAAAGCUCUAUCAGCAGGGAAGAAGGAAGACGGUACCUGAGUAAGAAGCACCGGCUAAAUACGUGCCAGCAGCCGCGGUAAUACGUAUGGUGCAAGCGUUAUCCGGAUUUACUGGGUGUAAAGGGAGCGUAGACGGCGUGACAAGUCUGAAGUGAAAGCCCGGGGCUCAACCGCGGGACUGCUUUGGAAACUGCCAGGCUGGAGUGCAGGAGAGGUAAGUGGAAUUCCUGGUGUAGCGGUGAAAUGCGUAGAUAUCAGGAGGAACACCGGCGGCGAAGGCGGCUUACUGGACUGUAACUGACGUUGAGGCUCGAAGGCAUGGGGAGCAAACAGGAUUAGAUACCCUGGUAGUCCACGCGGUAAACGAUGAUCACUAGGUG